AGAGAGGGAGACCGAGGGAGAGAGCGCAGAGAGGGAGAAUGUGCCUGCUCACAGCCAAAAUUGAUCAGAAAAAGGGGUAAAGUAGGACAUGGCUUCGAGGAGGGAAACAAAAGAAGGGAGCGUCUCAACGUUCUCCCUCUGCAGCUUCUCCCCUGCGUUUCUCGGGCGAAUCAGAGGGGCAGGCGCUGCUCUGCGGAAAGUUUGUCCCACCCGCGUUUCGCAGCUGGCUACGAGGAGAGGAGGAGGAGAGGGAGGGUCGAGCUCCGAGUCUGCGGCUGCAAGGAUGAUUGAGCCGGCGCUGCUCUUACCUCGCAGUCCUCGUACUUGAUAUUAUCCGUCAGUUUCCAAAGCAUUUUCAUGGAUCGCCGUGAACCGAUAAGUCCCUCUCCGCCUCACACCCAAGUGGAGCUACUCUCUGGCUCUUUACCAACAGCCUAAUCGCCUCAUUAGCAUAUCAACAAUAGUCCAAUUGCUCGCCAGUACCACAAUCUGCCGCUGGCCCUUCCAAUCCAGGUAUAAAGGCCUCUCCAAGCCGCGAACUUGCUACUAGAGCGCGCGCCGGCUUGCCAGCUAACGAGACCUUCCCCGAGCUCCUCCGCACGUCCCUGCCCCCGCGCCGCCCCCCACCCUCAGCCCAAUUCCGCCCCACUCCCCUUGCUCUCUUUCUCUCCGCUUCCUUUUCGCCAGAAAUGCCCUCUGCUUAAGCCCAGCACUGUGCGAGGUCUGAGCGGCCACGCCUGGGGCCCGGCUUCUAGCAUUUCUCUCUCUCUUACCCCUGCCGCCACUAUCCGAGCUGCCCUUUUGGCCCCGUGCAAUUUUAUUAGAAAUCAUUAUCCCUCUCGCAAUUAAACAUAACCACCAAACCAAGACCGGCGAAGUCACUCCAGGAUUUUUGCCCAACAAGAGAUCGCCUCCGCUCGCGGCAGCCACCCCCUCCGGCCGCAGCGCCUUGGGAGUUUUAUUGGCUUUGCGCUUUCCCCCAGGUUGGAGAUUCUGCCCAAGGGCUUCGGUCGCUCGGCUGGGGUUUGAGAUCCCUUAAUUGCGGCGUGUAAAAUAAAAGUUGUACCCUAAAGAGGUUACUUGCUCCGGGGGUUAAGUGAUUUUCCUCCCGUCUGUGUGAAGCCAGGGCCGACUGACGAUUCAACCUGGUGUUCGGGCUAAGGUUUCCUAGGUGAGACGUGGACAAGAAUACAGAAGUCCUGUGGAGACGCACAACCACUUUUGGAGUUGAGCCGAAAUACAGACGUGUGCGCCUGCAAGUCUAGAUACCGCCUCAUGCGUGCAUCAAAAUAAAUCACUGGGAACC